GCUCUAAUAGCUUACUUUAAAGCAUUGGUCUUGUAAACCAAAGACUGAAGACUAAUAAUCUUCUUAGAGCU
rnacentral:tRNA from 1 species